rnacentral:rRNA from 1 species
AUGACAAUAUUAAGCUGGAACUGUGGGGGGCUUGGGCAACCCCAGACGGUUCAGGAGUUGGUGUGCCUUGUGCGCACCUAUCAUCCAUCCUUGGUCUUUAUCUCUGAAACUAGGAAAAGUGAGAUGUAUGUCAAUAAAUUGCGUAGGAGACUAGGUCUCAAGCACUGUAUCUCCCAUGUUGGGGAUGGGAAAGGUGCAGGCAUCGCUCUCUUCUAUGAUGAGGAAGUUGAAAUAAAGAAGCUCGUUGUUGGACCGCGCUACAUCGAUGUGUUGAUCCGUCUCAAUCCCCAUGGUCGGCAAUGGCGGGUUACCUUCGUCUAUGGAGAACCGAAAGCAAGUGAAAGGCACCACUUGUGGGAAAAAUUGAGGAGAAUUCUUCCUCUGUCUAAUGAACAUUAG